AGCCGGGGCUUCUUCUGCGGGUACCGUCAUCAUCUUCCCCGCUGAAAGAGCUUUACAACCCUAAGGCCUUCUUCACUCACGCGGCAUGGCUGGAUCAGGCUUGCGCCCAUUGUCCAAUAUUCCC
rnacentral:rRNA from 1 species